CGCAACACGGGAGCAGCAGGGAGAGCUGGCUUUGUCCUGGAGGAUCCAGGAGCUCGCGGUGGAUAUCUGAGCCUGCAGCUCCAGGCUGCCGCAGGACGCAAGGGCUGCACACACCCAGAGCGUACAGGUUCGCUCGUGUUGUAAUUUGCAAAUGGCACGGCAAAUGCCACGAGAGCAGCUGGUGAAGGUGGCUCAGAAGCAAUGACAAGAAUGUGCUGCAAAGUUGGGUCCAGCAGUCCAGCUUCCCGACACGGCAAUUCUGAAGCACUGAGCAGAG